UGACAUCCUGGAGCUGGCGAUGGCCAAGGGGCCCAUGUUCUCGUGGCUGAGGUACUGGCCGGAAGAGGGGUAUCCCGAGGAGGGCCGACCUUACUGAAGCCCAUCUCGGCUGUUAGGUAUAUACUCCCUCCGUCCCAUAAUAUAAGAGCGUUGCUCUUAUAUUAUGGGACGGAGGGAGUACUUGCAAUUUUAUUAUGCGUCAGUGUUGGGGCCUUUUCCCCUGAUCGAUCCAGUCCAGGAGUUGAUCAUCUCCCGUGCCACUAAUUAUCAUACUGCCAAUGACUAUCCUGUGCACCUAUGUAGUUCAAAAUGUGCUUAAGAUUACUGCAGACAAUGAUCCAAUGAUCCCUUCAAUGUGAGUUUAUCUUCACUCGGUGUCUGAAAUGAUAUGUGGUGCAAAAUGGAUCAUGUCUUGCCAAAUUGGCCAAUUUGAGUUAUAGCCUUGCUAACUCUUUUUGUUUGAUGAGGUUAAGCUAAUAUUCAU
rnacentral:lncRNA from 1 species